UACGUAGGGUGGCAAGCGUUGUCCGGAAUUAUUGGGCGUAAAGCGCGCGCAGGCGGCCUUUUAAGUCUGAUGUGAAAGCCCACGGCUCAACCGUGGAAGGUCAUUGGAAACUGAAAGGCUUGAGUACAGAAGAGGAAAGCGGAAUUCCACGUGUAGCGGUGAAAUGCGUAGAGAUGUGGAGGAACACCAGUGGCGAAGGCGGCUUUCUGGUCUGUAACUGACGCUGAGGCGCGAAAGCGUGGGGAGCAAACAGG
rnacentral:rRNA from 1 species